UAAUAAUAAUAAUAAAUAUAAUCAUCAUCAUCAUCAUCAACAUCAUCAUCUUACUAUGCAUCGGUGACGUUAGACCGCUGCCAGAAAUUUGGAUUAGAAAGAGCUAGGGGUCUCCAUUUUACUCCCAUGUUUCGGGUUUACAAGAUCCGCACUUGUUUUAAGGGUACCUUUCAGUGUCGAUUUGAUUAACAACAUAUUAUUUGCACAUUAUAAAAAAAUAUGCCAUUCAAUUCGUAUUUGACAAAAGUUUUCAUCCAUGUAAUUAUUAUGGCACACAAGCCAUAUACCAUUCUUUAAUUGAUGAACAAAACAAAUUGUAAAAUAUAUGUGCGGAGCUUGUAAAUCUAAAAGAGGGACUGUAUAUAAAUACCCAUGACUCCGCCUUUAUCAAGUGUCACAAGAUAAAAUAUUUUUAGUAUGAAAAUAUAUUAAAGCUAAAAAACAUAGCUUGAACGUGAGUAUGUAUAAACACACUUUUUAGACCUGGUUGCAAUUUCUGUUACGUCUGGUGUUUUUUGUAUUUAGAUCGAAAGCUUUUCCCGCAAAAAAAGCAAACAUCUAUAUAAGCUUUAGAAAUUACAAACAAAUGAUUUAUGUAGGGAAUAGGUAUAAAUUUACAUUUGCAAGUUUUAGAUUAGAAAUGUAAUCAUCAUUUGUGUUCCAUGCAAAAAUAACAAAAUGAGUAGAUAUCUACAUAUAAAAUUUGGUUAACAGCACAAUUUGUGGUUUCGUGUGGCCUGAAAUGAUCAUUCAUAUCUACAAUCCACAAGGAUUAGUACCUGUACCCACUUGAAAAAUAAUUUUCUAACUUAAAGUACAAUUAUUUUCCUUAAAUUUCCAAAAAAUGGGUUAAUAUGUGUAGAUAUCAAGGUUCCGAAUAACAUUUUCGCACAAAUGUGCGAGAUCUCCACGAGCUUCGCCACUUCCACAUAAAACAACCAAACCAACUAGCUAUUACCUCUGUUUCGAAAUAAUGAAAUUAUAUGUUUGUCGGAAGUCAAACUUAUUUAAGUUUGACCAAGUUUAUAGAAAAAAUAUUAACAUCUAGAACACCGAAUUACUUUCAUGUAAUCGAUUAUAAACUAUAUUUCCGCACUAUUUAUAUUUAGUGUUGUUGAUCUUAUCACAAUUUUACAUGUAAUUGGUCAAACUUAAUCAAGUUUGACUUAAGAUAAACAUAGAACAUCAACUGUUUUGGAACAUAGAGUUUACCAAUUAGAGAGGUAAAGAGAAAAUGAGCAGCAUCUAAUUUAGCCAGGAAUAAAGAAGAGCCAAGGUGUCAGAAAUGAAACAAAGAUGGAUGGGAAUUAUAGAAAGAUCAAAAUGCACUGAUGGUCUAGAGCUAACAAAUUCCUCUCCUUUUUGCCGGAAAGAGCUAAUUAAUUCCACUGAUCUGAUAUGAAUUAACUUACACUUGCAUGGAGAUUAAAACCAAAUCUCCCAUUCCCUCUCUAGAAAUUGCAAAUUAGCUGCAAUUGAAAGUCCUGGAU
rnacentral:lncRNA from 1 species